CGCGUAGGUGGUUCGAUCAGUCGGAGGUGAAAGCCCUCGGCUCAACCGAGGAUCCGCGUCCGAUACUAUCGAACUUGAGUGCAGGAGAGGAGAGCGGAAUUCCCAGUGUAGCGGUGAAAUGCGUAGAUAUUGGGAGGAACACCGGUGGCGAAGGCGGCUCUCUGGACUGCCACUGACACUGAGGCGCGAAAGCUAGGGGAGCAAACGGGAUUAGAUACCCCGGUAGUCCUAGCCGUAAACGAUGGGCACUAGGUGUGGGAGGUAUCGACCCCUUCCGUGCCGCAGCUAACGCAUUAAGUCGCCCCGCCGUGGGGAGUACGGCCGCAAGGUUGAA
rnacentral:rRNA from 1 species